GCUAGUAAUCGUAGAUCAGCAUGCUACGGUGAAUAUGUUCCCGGGUCCUGUACACACCGCCCGUCACACCAUGGGAGUCGGAUAUGCCCGAAGUCAGUGACCCAACCAUAUGGAGGGAGCUGCCGAAGGUGGAGCCGAUAACUGGGGUGAAGUCGUAACAAGGUAUC
rnacentral:rRNA from 1 species